UGUUUUUAGGGUGUCAGUACAAAAGGCUUUAUGGAAGAAACUGGCUUAGGUGAGAGGCUGGCAGCAGUAGCAUAGUGUAGUACUGCACUGCACUUUGGUGACAUGAAUUCAUGCUCCAGACUGACUUAGGUCAUUUAGGAUUCAGGAGGGAGAAAAGCCAGAUGGUGUGAGUACACCAGAGAGCAGUUCUGGAGCUAUGAACUUCAGUAUUGCAAAGCGGGGUUGAAGAGAACCACACUUGUG